AACGACUCUCGGCAACGGAUAUCUCGGCUCUCGCAUCGAUGAAGAACGUAGCGAAAUGCGAUACUUGGUGUGAAUUGCAGAAUCCCGUGAACCAUCGAGUCUUUGAACGCAAGUUGCGCCCGAAGCCUUUUGGCUAAGGGCACGUCUGCCUGGGCG
rnacentral:rRNA from 1 species